AUUGAACGCUGGCGGCAUGCCUUACACAUGCAAGUCGAACGGCAGCACGGGUGCUUGCACCUGGUGGCGAGUGGCGAACGGGUGAGUAAUACAUCGGAACGUACCUUAUCGUGGGGGAUAACGCAGCGAAAGUUGCGCUAAUACCGCAUACGCCCUGAGGGGGAAAGCGGGGGACCGUAAGGCCUCGCGCGAUUAGAGCGGCCGAUGGCUGUUUAGCUUGUUGGUGGGGUAAAAGCUCACCAAGGCGAUGAUCAGUAGCUGGUGUGAGAGGACGAUCAGCCACACUGGGACUGAGACACGGCCCAGACUCCUACGGGAGGCAGCAGUGGGGAAUUUUGGACAAUGGGGGCAACCCUGAUCCAGCAAUGCCGCGUGAGUGAAGAAGGCCUUCGGGUUGUAAAGCUCUUUUGUCAGGGAGGAAACAGCAGCUCUAACACAGUCUGCGAAUGACGGUACCUGAAGAAUAAGCACCGGCUAACUACGUGCCAGCCGCCGCCGUAA
rnacentral:rRNA from 1 species